rnacentral:sRNA from 1 species
AUAUCUCUCCGUACGGGAAGGAUGAGAAGCUUCGACUAAGGUUCGAUUCGAGCGAAAGCGAGAAAGCGUUGCCGCAG